rnacentral:lncRNA from 1 species
CCACCUCAAAAAAUAUAUACCAAAAUAUCAAUUACAAAAUACAAAAAGACCACUUUUAAGAAUUUAUUUUUAUAAUAUAUAUUAGGGUUUAAGUAAAAUUAAUUUAUAAGCAUUAAAUAAAAUUAAAAAUAAAAUAAAAAAUAUUUUAUAAAAUUUAUUUAGUAUCUAUACUUAUCUAAGUUGGAUACUUUUAACUUUUAAAAUUUGAAUAUGGUUUCGGGGUUCUAAAUUCAAUAAUUUAUUUUAAAGAUAAGUUAGAAUAAAUACUCACAUCUUUUUUAAAAAUGAAUUUUUUUAUUUUGGUAUCGUUAAGAAUAAACAGUUAAAAUCAAAGCUUGAACAUAUCUAAUACCACGUUCAACUUCCCAAACAAAUAACAAUAUUAGUUGUCGGGAUACUUC